rnacentral:rRNA from 1 species
GACAGAGGGGGCAAGCGUUGCUCGGAAUUACUGGGCGUAAAGGGCGCGUAGGCGGGAUGGCAAGUCGGUCGUGAAAUCCCUCGGCUCAACUGAGGAUCGUCGAUCGAUACUGCCGUGCUUGAGGACUGGAGAGGAGACUGGAAUUUACGGUGUAGCGGUGAAAUGCGUAGAUAUCGUAAGGAAGACCAGUGGCGAAGGCGGGUCUCUGGACAGUUCCUGACGCUGAGGCACGAAGGCCAGGGGAGCAAACGGG